rnacentral:rRNA from 1 species
CGGCGUACGGGUGAGUAACACGUGGGCAACCUUUCCCAACGUGGGGGAUAACACCGGGAAACCGGUGCUAAUACCGCAUGAGGUCACUGGGGGCAUCCUUGGUGAAGAAAGCAGAGAUGCGCGAUGGGGUGGGUCCGCGGCCUAUCAGCUAGUCGGUGGGGUAACGGCCUGCCGAGGCAUUGACGGGUAGCUGGUCUGAGAGGACGGCCAGCCACACGGGGACUGAGACACGGCCCCG